GGGAAGGUGGUUCAGUGGUAGAGUGCUUGCCUUGCAUGCAUGAAGCCCUGGGUUCGAUUCCCCAGCGCCA
rnacentral:tRNA from 1 species